AUAAUCACAACCAUUUACCAGAUCUGCAUCUUAUCCCAUAGGGGCCUGGGCAAGCGCAUGGUGUUGGACGAAAAACUUAUUUGUGGGAUUCACGGCAAACCACUGAUGAGUUAGAAAUCAUGCUGCCUUUAUCCGCGACUCCAGGCUAAUCUAUAGAGCUUCUCCUACUAGCUGCACAUCCUAUUGCUCUUCCAACUCAUCCAGCGGUUCAAAUAACUUUCAACUGUGUAUGGACAACUACAAUCAGCAUCAAAUAAACAAGAAAUUGCAGUGGACUUAUACCAUGGACUUCAACUUCAUCACCGCAUAUGUUGAUUGGAAGCAAACGAAAAAAUGCAACAAUCGUAAGGCAAAUGACUAGAAUUACGAUAUGCUUGCUGCAUAUUUGAGGGAACAUUUUGAGAUGCAAGUCACCGGGGGCCAGUGCCAGUCAAGAUUGUAUAGGCUCAAGAAAAAGUGGAAUGUGUUUUCCAAUUUUCGUGGUUUGUCUUCUAAACCUGAGACUGGGAUUGGUUGGGACGAAGAAAGUAACUGCUUCAUGGCCAGCGACAAGCACUGGCCCCAAAUGGAAGCAGUAUGCGAGCAUAUAUUUGCAUUCCUUUCUCCAUGCUCACCCUCCAUUUGUGUAUCAUACUUGCUCAACGUGAAAUACCUACUCAAUUGCUUUUACUAAAGUUGUU